CCGAGGAAAUCCUACCAACCUGCUGACUCAGGAUGAUGUGGCCAUUUACCUGCGCUGGCUGGUCUGCCAUCUGCACUCUGUUCAGACCGUUCACAACUUCCUCAGGGUGUUGCACUACCUACCAGCCUGUGAAAGAAAAGAUAAAAACCCACAACCAAAGGUCUGUGAGGAAAAUUUACACAAGACUCAACAUGUUGAUGGUGUUUCAGAACUGGCUGAGGCUGUUCCCCUGCACACUGUUCACCUGGAGGAGUUUCUACCUGAGCUGCAGGCUUUGAUCGCUCACUUCCAGCUGCCCUACGACGUCCAGAAACUCAGGACCACCGCAG